CCUACGGGGGGCAGCAGUGGGGAAUAUUGGACAAUGGGCGAAAGCCUGAUCCAGCCAUGCCGCGUGUGUGAAGAAGGCCUUUUGGUUGUAAAGCACUUUAAGCGAGGAGGCGUUACUCGCAGAAUAAGCACUGGCUAACUCUGUGCCAGCAGCCGCGGUAAUACAGAGGGUGCGAGCGUUAAUCGGAUUUACUGGGCGUAAAGCGUGCGUAGGCGGCUUCUUAAGUCGGAUGUGAAAUCCCUGAGCUUAACUUAGGAAUUGCAUUCGAUACUGGGAAGCUAGAGUAUGGGAGAGGAUGGUAGAAUUCCAGGUGUAGCGGUGAAAUGCGUAGAGAUCUGGAGGAAUACCGAUGGCGAAGGCAGCCAUCUGGCCUAUCUGACGCUGAGGUACGAAAGCAUGGGGAGCAAACAGGAUUAGAUACCCUUGUAGUC
rnacentral:rRNA from 1 species